CCGGCAUCGCCUCACGCCCCUAGACCUCUGACACUGCAUGGGCAUCUGUGCCCAGCACACAAGUUACAGUGACACACAAGUUAGAGUGAAAUUUUAUUGUGACCUUGAUACAGUUUUUGUGUUCUAGUGAGGCUGAGAAGUAAUGCACCCUAAACAAAAUAAAUAUGCUUAGGGUACCUUAUUUUACCCUACCAAAAUCCAUAUAGCUAUUUUACUGGGGAGAGAUUUCAUAAUUUCCUAUACAUGUUUUUCACAAUGAGCAAACAAUUUUGUUGCUUUCUUUCACUGUUUUCAUGGUAAGGAAAUAUAAAUGUCUUGGUAUGUCAGUUUCUCAUGCAGCCGAAAUCCAUACAUUUUUGUCACUAGUGGUGGCUAUCUGAACAGAUUUCCAGAAAUUAUUUGCUGACAGAGUUCUGACAGGUGAAAAAGUGAAGCUCUGUCAAUCAAAUAUGACAUUUCAUGCAAUUACUUUUUUAAAUGAUAUCUCUCCAUAAAAAGCAUUUCCCAAUUUCUAUUUAUGCUAUGACUCCACUGUUUGUGAAAGGCAUUCUCUGAUCUUGGCUAAUUUUUGCUAGGGUGAUUGGCAAAGAGGCCAGGAUGUGCCUCCAGUGUUUGCUGGGUCGCUGACCUCCAUGUGACUGAUAAGCAUUGGCAAGUUAGCAUGCUACCAGCAGACAGUUAGCUUGGCAGAAAUGUGAACAGGAAGUGGGUAAAUAAUGAAGCAUGUUUUGAUCUUUCUAGACUCCCUUCACCUUGGAAGACAAGCACUGACUUGGUAGCAGUGUUUUGGCUUUUAAGGGUGUAUUCUUCUCCUCUGCCCCAACCCAGUCCUCAGGAAACUGUUGGGAUUAAUAAAAACUGUGGUAUAUUGGGACUUUUCUUGAGAAGGAAACAUCCUGGAUUGUCACAAUGAGUGAUGAUAUUCCUGUCGUCUAUGUUCUGUUCGGACUGGCAAACCAGGCUGCUAUAAUGAUCCAAACGAGUGCAGAGGAGACUUCCUAAAUACAUGGUUGGACUGAAAUUUGACAUA
rnacentral:lncRNA from 1 species